GAACAACAAUCUUAAAAGACCACUUUCGAGUUUGUCUGUCACUGAAAAAAACUCGUCAAUUAUGCAUGCCUUUAUGACAUCAUUUACCAGAUUGAGGGGUUCACUUCAGCACUGCUGAAAGACAAUUUUGAGAACUCAAUUUGCAGAAUAAUUCGUGCAAUAUAGCUUUAUAGUUUUCAAACCAUUCGCUCAACAUGGAAAGGAAGUGACGAUGCCCC
rnacentral:lncRNA from 1 species